CUACGUGCCAGCAGCCGCGGUAAUACGGAAGGUCCGGGCGUUAUCCGGAUUUAUUGGGUUUAAAGGGAGCGUAGGCUGGAGAUUAAGUGUGUUGUGAAAUGUAGACGCUCAACGUCUGAMUUGCAGCGCAUACUGGUUUCCUUGAGUACGCACAACGUUGGCGGAAUUCGUCGUGUAGCGGUGAAAUGCUUAGAUAUGACGAAGAACUCCGAUUGCGAAGGCAGCUGACGGGAGCGCAACUGACGCUUAAGCUCGAAGGUGCGGGUAUCGAACAGGAUUAGAUACCCUGGUAGUCCGCACAGUAAACGAUGGAUGCCCGCUGUUGGUACCUGGUAUCAGCGGCUAAGCGAAAGCAUUAAGCAUCCCACCUGGGGAGUACGCCGGCAACGGUGAAACUCAAAGGAACUGACGGGGGCCCGCACAAGCGGAGGAACAUGUGGUUUAAUUCGAUGAUACGCGAGGAACCUUACCCGGGCUUGAA
rnacentral:rRNA from 1 species